UUUAAUGUUUGAUGUUCUAACGUGGAUCCGUAAUCCGGGUUGCGGACAGUGUCUGGUGGGUAGUUUGACUGGGGCGGUCUCCUCCUAAAGAGUAACGGAGGAGCACGAAGGUUGGCUAAUCCUGGUCGGACAUCAGGAGGUUAGUGCAAUGGCAUAAGCCAGCUUGACUGCGAGCGUGACGGCGCGAGCAGGUGCGAAAGCAGGUCAUAGUGAUCCGGUGGUUCUGAAUGGAAGGGCCAUCGCUCAACGGAUAAAAGGUACUCCGGGGAUAACAGGCUGAUACCGCCCAAGAGUUCAUAUCGACGGCGGUGUUUGGCACCUCGAUGUCGGCUCAUCACAUCCUGGGGCUGAAGUAGGUCCCAAGGGUAUGGCUGUUCGCCAUUUAAAGUGGUACGCGAGCUGGGUUUAGAACGUCGUGAGACAGUUCGGUCCCUAUCUGCCGUGGGCGCUGGAGAACUGAGGGGGGCUGCUCCUAGUACGAGAGGACCGGAGUGGACGCAUCACUGGUGUUCGGGUUGUCAUGCCAAUGGCACUGCCCGGUAGCUAAAUGCGGAAGAGAUAAGUGCUGAAAGCAUCUAAGCACGAAACUUGCCCCGA
rnacentral:rRNA from 2 species